rnacentral:rRNA from 1 species
GUGGAGCCUGCGGCUUAAUUUGACUCAACACGGGAAACCUCACCAGGCCCGGACACCAGAAGGAUUGACAGAUUAAGAGCUCUUUCUCGAUUUGGUGGGUGGUGGUGCAUGGCCGUUCUUAGUUGGUGGAGUGAUUUGUCUGGUUAAUUCCGGUAACGAACGAGACUCUGGCCUACUAAAUAGUGGACGGGCGUUUUGGUGCAUGGGCCCCGUUCGAAGUACUCUUCUUAGAGGGAUGAGCAGCGAGUAUAGCUGCAGGAGAUUGAGCAAUAACAGGUCUGUGAUGCCCUUAGAUGUCCUGGGCCGCACGCGCGCUACACUGAAUGGGUUAGCGGGUUGUCCUUGUCCGAGAGGAGGGGGAAAUCGCGUGAAAACCAUUCGUGAUAGGGAUUGGGGCUUGCAACUGUUUCCCAUGAACGAGGAAUUCCCAGUAAGCGCAAGUCAUCAGGUUGCGUUGAUUAAGUCCCUGCCCUUUGUACACACCGCCCGUCGCUACUACCGAUUGAAUGAUUUAGUGAGGCCUUCGGACUGGCGGUCCUGGACUGUUGGGCCGGGUUACUGCCAGCAAUGGUGGUCCGGUCGAGCGCCUGGACGAGCCGGAAAGAUGUCCAAACUUGAUCAUUUAGAGGAAGUAAAAGUCGUAACAAGGUUUCC